CUACGGGGGGCUGCAGUGGGGAAUCUUGGACAAUGGGCGCAAGCCUGAUCCAGCCAUGCCGCGUGAGUGAAGAAGGUCUUCGGAUUGUAAAGCUCUUUUGCCAGGGACGAUAAUGACGGUACCUGGAGAAUAAGCCCCGGCAAACUUCGUGCCAGCAGCCGCGGUAAUACGAAGGGGGCUAGCGUUGUUCGGAAUUACUGGGCGUAAAGCGCACGUAGGCGGGUCGUUAAGUCAGGGGUGAAAUCCCGGAGCUCAACUCCGGAACUGCCUUUGAUACUGGCGAUCUAGAGAUCGGAAGAGGUGAGUGGAAUUCCCAGUGUAGAGGUGAAAUUCGUAGAUAUUGGGAAGAACACCAGUGGCGAAGGCGGCUCACUGGUCCGAUACUGACGCUGAGGUGCGAAAGCGUGGGGAGCAAGCAGGAUUAGAUACCCGCGUAGUC
rnacentral:rRNA from 1 species